UACGAAGGGGGCUAGCGUUGUUCGGAAUUACUGGGCGUAAAGCGCACGUAGGCGGACUAUUAAGUCAGGGGUGAAAUCCCGGGGCUCAACCCCGGAACUGCCUUUGAUACUGGUAGUCUCGAGUCCGGAAGAGGUGAGUGGAAUUCCGAGUGUAGAGGUGAAAUUCGUAGAUAUUCGGAGGAACACCAGUGGCGAAGGCGGCUCACUGGCUCGAUACUGACGCUGAGGUGCGAAAGCGUGGGGAGCAAACAGG
rnacentral:rRNA from 1 species